ACGUAGGGUGCGAGCGUUAAUCGGAAUUACUGGGCGUAAAGCGUGCGCAGGCGGGUAUAUAAGUCAGAUGUGAAAUCCCCUGGCUCAACCUGGGGACGGCAUUUGAGACUGUAUGACUUGAGGGUGGCAGAGGGGGGUGGAAUUCCAGGUGUAGCGGUGAAAUGCGCAGAGAUGUGGAGGAACACCGAUGGCGAAGGCAGCCCCCUGGGGCAAUCCUGACGCUCAGGCACGAAAGCUAGGGGAGCAAACAG
rnacentral:rRNA from 1 species